AAGGCUCGAGCCCGUGCGAGAGCCGUCUCACCGUUUGACCCAACACAAACGGCGCGGGAGCCACCGUAUCCAUGGCCCUUCGGGGUCGGAUCAGGCACCCACCUUCUUAUGAAGGGAUCAAAGCUAGAGGCGGCAACGGCGGGCUGGGGCCUGU
rnacentral:other from 1 species